CGAGCCAAUAUGAUGCUGUCAAUUUGCUGGCAAUCGCAAUGGUCUGUGUUUGAGAAUCCUUAACUUCGUUGCUGCUCGGUACUUCUACAGAUUAUCUCAUCAAUCUCUUGUUCCGCAUCUUGACACAAUGAUGGCUGGCCAGGAUGCAUUCUAUGCGCUUCCUGAUUCACUUCUUACUUCCAUGCUAUCAAAAAUUCCAAUAAAAGAUGCUGUCAAGUCUUCCAUUCUUUCCAAGAGAUGGAGAUUUCUUUACACGCAGAUGCCUGAACUCACUUUCUCUCCAAAUCUUGUUUUUGGGACCUGAUUGUCCUUAUCUCAAUCCUCUUCUCGUGUCAAGAGUUGAGAAUAUAAUUUCCAACAUCUUGCUUAUGCAUUCACACAAUCUUGAGGACUUUCAUCUCCACAACAGCGGGUUCGAUCGUAAUCAACGGUGCUUCUCCCGUGAAAAUGGGUGCAAAUGGGUGAGACAUGCAUUUUUUGUGUAAUAUUCAACACCUCUCUCUGUCUGACCACUAUGUGCCAGCUUUUUUCGGUGUGCGCCUCCAUGCUUUCAAAGAAACCCCACCCCCUGCUCUUUUUUCAUGUUCGCGUCUCGUAACACUGUAUUUGCACGACUACGACUACGCCCUUACCAGUAUCCCAAUUAAUUUUGACGGAUUCCCCUGCUUGAUUACUUGUCGCCUACAGACUGUUCGAUUGACUGACGAGUCUUUAGUCUCCUUCAUUUCGCUCUGCCCCCUUCUGCAAAAACUGGAAAUGACAGUAGAUGAUUGGCUAGGUAAUGCGGUAAUCUUUUCAUCCACCAUUGAACAUUUGCAUAUGCGACGCGGAAGAUCUCUCUCUGUCAACUGCCCCAAACUUAAAAUUAUGUCGGGGUUAAUGUUUGAGGAUUUGAGUGUAAAUGGUGUUAAGGUUUUAUGAGUUUUCUUCUGUCAUCUGGCAUCUUGAAAUGGACCAUGGAAGUACUCUGAGGGAAUUGUCGAUGGACUUCUGUGUGGCAAAAUUUUCAACAAGUAGAUUUCUUCACAUAGUAGGCAACUGCCAAAGCUUGAAGGAACUGGUUAUAUACCUGGGUGAUAUCAAGGAAAUAAAGAUGGAUGCUCCUCUGCUGAACCUGUUUCACAUGUUUCCAAAUCUUCAGCGGCUGCAUAUAAUGGGCUCCUUUUUACUGGAGUGUGCAAGAGAUCCUAUACCUGAUUGCCUCGCCUUUCCACAUGUUAACCUUAAGAAAAUACGUGUAGAAGUACUUGAGUUUGACUACAAAGAGAUUGCAGUAAUCAGUUGCUUGCUCCAGAGUAUGCCCUCUCUUGAAACAAUGGAAAUUUGGCUACCUGAUGAAUAUGAUGAAGGUCGAUGUAUGAACUUCUUUAAAGAUAUUUUGUACUUGAGGAGAGCAUCUUUACUAGCAAGGAUUAUUGUACUAGACUGCACGCAGAAUGAGUACGAGGAUAUUGCACGUUGGAAGGACUGAGACCUUCUUGGAAUGAAGAAGCUAAUAUCUCAUGACUUAUUGGAUAUGUGAAAUAGUGAAGUUUUUUUAUUGCUAAAGGUUGGAUGCAAGCAAUGUGGUGUAUGUAGGGUGCAAGAUGAAGGACUCAACAAGGUCAUGCAAGGAAAUGGAUGCAGAUGAAGUCCUACAAGGAUGCAAGAUGCACAAGAUCAAAAUGAAGAUGAGGAUUAGCUCAAGACAUGAAGAGGGCUUCACCAUGAUGGUGAACAAAUGAAGGAAAGACAGACAUGACAAGGAUGAGAAAAUCAAAAUCAAGGCUAGUAUAACAAUGAAGAUAUUUCCUACAUCCCGAGGAUGAUCAAGCAUUAACAACAUGAAGGAAUUUUAGUCAGGAGGUUGUGUUCAACAUGAAAUCAAGAACUACAUCAAUGUAAGAGACAAGUUAAAUGAGACAACAUCACAAAGGUGAAUGAGGAGGAUUGACAUGUCAAGUCUUGGAGUAAUAUAGUGACAAAUACAAAAUGAUGUUUUACAAUCUUGAUUUCCUCUAGAAUCCAAGAAUCAAUGCUAGUAAUCCAAGGUGAAAGAUUCAAUGGAGCAAGGCAAAUUAACCAAUUUUGCAAGGCAAGUAGAGUUUACAACUCGGUCAUCAUUCAACCAAUCAAAGGGCCCAAAGUCAAAAUGUUCAGAUACAAUGAACUUGACUCAUCCUAUGGAGGCACAAAAUUUGAAGAUACCUAACCUCAAUUCUUAUUGGUUCACAUUCAAUGUAAUAUGCAUCUUCAAAUCAUUAUAAUUUUCUCAUUGGCCGAAAUGGAGUUAUUGUAACUAAUCCUAAUUAGGGUUUUCAUUAUGUAAUCUCGAGAGUUGAUUAUGAAUUAAUUUGAGCCAUUGAAAUGUAAUGAAACUUCUAUAUAAGGCUUAGUUCUCUCAUUUGUAAAGGUUAAUAGUGAGUAGCAGAGAAUAUUUAGUAGAACAUUAGCAGUUAGAGUAGGAGGAAGAAACUUGAAAUUGUUGCCAAGACUUGGGAAUAAACAUUCUUUUCCUUGAAGAUAUGGUGGAAUGUGUUUUUCUUUCUACAUGUUUCAUGGAUUCAUGUUACUUUUCAAUUUUUAGUUGAAGUUCAUUGAUUAUGAUGGAUAAGUGUGUGGAUGUUGAUAAUUCCUUGGUUCAUACUUUUUGUGGUUUGCUGAUUGUAAGCCACAGUGCAAAGUUAGCCUGAA